UUAAACCAUUUGUGUGAGCAGAACAUCUUUCUAGAAAAGAUCAGACUAGCGAAAAUAAAAGGCAGUAACAGGGAAUGUAAGAUGUCAAAUGUGCCAUCAAGUACAAAAAAGACAAUAAAACUUCCAGGACAAAGUUGUUCGUGUGGAACUGAAUGACUGCACUAUUUUAUGGCAGAUUUGUACACCUUGGCUGUGUGGAGCUUCUUGUACCCCUGUCCUGCUCCCCUCAGUGACCUCUGCAAUCCAGAUAUUUUGCACAGAGAAAAAAUGAUGCUCUAUUCCAAAGGGAGGGAAUGACAGGCAAUCAUGARCAAAACCUGCUAAAUCUCACUGGGAGGAGGCAACUUACAGCACUGUGAGUUCGGAGUCAGUGAGAACACAGCUCAGAAAUCCUCCUGCAGAUGCACGGCGCUCACCGGAAACAAUUGAGAAUGGCAGUGGUAUCCUGCAGGAUGUGUGCGACAUGCUCAGCUGGGGCUUGAUUUACACAGGGCCACAYUAUAGAUUAUACAUUCUGGUAAUUGUGGUAUUGUUAUUGCUGGGCUAUAUCUAAGCACAGGAAGUACAUAUAAGCACAUUUGAAGUGAUAACAUCCACUCCUGUUUAAAAAGCAGUGUUUYAUUUUGGUACGUAACGCAGCGUUUGCAAGGGAAAAUAAUUUCCUAAUUAGUACUUAGCAAGACUUUUAGGGGAAAAGCUGAUUCAUUUUAAGAAGGCCACAACCAGCAUUUACAAAUACAUCCACUCUCUAAUUUUUUUUUU